rnacentral:rRNA from 1 species
AUACGGAAGGUCCGGGCGUUAUCCGGAUUUAUUGGGUUUAAAGGGAGCGCAGGCGGAGAUGCAAGCGUGACGUCAAAUUUCGGGGCUCAACCCCGUCUCGCGUCGCGAACUGCGUCCCUUGGUUGCGGGAAGGGGAGGCGGAACUCGUGGUGUAGCGGUGAAAUGCAUAGAUAUCACGAAGAACUCCGAUCGCGAAGGCAGCCUUCCGGCCCGUCAACGACGCUCAUGCACGAAAGUGCGGGGAUCGAACAGGAUUAGAUACCCUGGUAGUCCGCACAGUAAACGAUGAAUACUUGUUUUCGGCGAUAUAAUGUCGGAGGCAAAGCGAAAGCGAUAAGUAUUCCACCUGGGGAGUACGCCGGCAACGGUGAAACUCAAAUGAAUUGGCGGGG